GCAACCACUGUUUAGUGACAUAUAUGAAAACAAUAUGGCACAUUAUUCCCUAUAUAGUCUACUACUUUCAAGUAGUGCACUAUAUAGGGAACAGAGUACCAUUUGGCAUGAAGCCGUUGUCUUUGCAGGUCAUUGGUAGUCUUACUUUGGACCAGACGGCAGCUGAUCCUGCCAGGAGAGGACUGACGGCCAGGAUGACGAGGGUCAGCUUCCAGCCGAAGAUGAAACCAAUGAUGAACCCUGACAAGAAGGACAUCUGUUGGUGAAGGAUGGCAUGGAAGUAUUUCUCCCGAAUCCGUUUGGUCUGUUUGGUGGCUGUCAGCAAGAACAACAUCACCUGAAAGGUCCCCAGCAGGAACACAGCACAACCGAUCCCGAUGAAGUAAUAGGCAUGUCUGGAAAUUCAAAUCGUACACGUUACAGCCACGUGCAGGACCAGUCAAGUUUGGACACCUACUCAUUCAAGGUGGUGAAUCGCAUCUCUGCAUGUCUGGCAGACAUAUCAGUGUGGAUGACGGAUCACCACCUCAAGCUGAACCUCGG